AAUAAAAUCCAGUGCAAAGAAGUUCCGGAAACAUGCUCUUUAAAAAGUGACUCAUUUCUAUUCAUGAGCUCAUACUGGACCAUUAAACCGGAAGGCUUUCUUGCAACUUGGGGGCAGCAUCAACAAGCUGUAAACACAACACUGACAUAUUAAAUUAAAGUUUUUAAAUUUAAUGGUGAAUGAGAUACAAAGCAUGCAUUCGGAGUCCUAUUCUGUGUAACCUGAUGAAUAAAAGUCUAAUAUCCACUCUC